UACAAAAUUGCCCUCGCCGUCGUGCUCUCCGCCUCACUUCCUUCCUCCCUCGCUCGUCCGGGGCGGCGCCGCCGCGGCCGGUGGCCGGCGGCGCCGACGAUCUCUCCUUCUGCGGGUUCGCGCGUCCUCUUCCUCGGCGUUCGGAGACGCAUUGCCUCUUCCCUCCCCUAGUGAUGAUCCAUUCUCAAGGAAACCUAUACUCGUGUUUACGAUGAUCCAGAGGAAGAAGAGGGAACGACACUUGAUGAAGCUGGGAAUUUCAAUGAUAACUUAGAAAAUAAUAUCGAAGAGCUCUGCAGAAGAUUGGAAGGCCGUUAUCUCCAAGAAAAAGAGCAGGAAACCUUACUUCUGCAAUGAACAUGAUAUCAGACAUAUGCUCCUGAUGAAAUGUUUCAAUUGAAAAACCAGGGAAAGAGAAAUCCCUUAGGAAGAAGGAAAUACUUGAUCUGAUGAACUCGAAUCAGAACUUAGUGCUGCUGCAUAGGGAGCAGGUGAUCUGCUAGGGAGGAAGACUGAUGCUGAAAAGAGAAAGCUGUCUACCAUGCAGCAGUCCUUGCAAAAGGAAGAAGAGGCAUACAAAGCAUUGAAAAAUACAACCGAAGUUGAAGAAAACUAGUUCUUGGGUGAAGACUACGAAGAUCUGCAGAAAUCACUGGAGCAAGCAGGAAGAGACUGCAGAUUCUGGUCCUCUUGCUGUAGCAAUACUAGCUACUGCCAGCAAAGACCAAGAGCUGCAGGAGGUCCACACAAAAUAACUGAGGUGGGAGAGUUUGUGUGGGGCCUACAAAUGAAGUUUGUGAUCUCAGGUAGUUCCGAAUAAGAGACAUGCGCGCCAGAAGCAAGAGAUGUUUUUAUGGAUGAACACAGUAACGGUUUCCUUCAGGUCAUCUAGCAAAAGGACAUGACAAGUUAGCAGUGAUCAAAGAGGAAACUAACAUUGAAGACCUGAUAAAAGAUGAAAAGGCAGAAGAUGUUGAACUGAAUAUGAUUGUAGAUGAAGUUGUUCUAGUUGGCAAUGAUUUGGCUGGUGCUUUGCAGUUCUGUAUGAAGUGCUCAGUGAGGGCUCAGAUUGGGGGGCACAACCACAAACAAUAAUAUAUUUGCAUAGAAAGAACUGAUGAAUUUGAUCAAGUGGUGACUGACGGAGGCAUUUGUCACCAAGUAAGAUGCAGCAGACAAGAUGCCUGAAUGUAAACCAAGGAAAUGAUAUCCUCUCACUCGCUUUCAAUGUCUGCAAAAAAGAUGAGAGCUCAAGCUCUCAGCAAAACACCAUACCUUGUUAAGUCAAGUGGCAAUGCAAAAUGAAGGCUAGCAAGUGACGCCAACGCCAGUGGCCUCUCUGUGGUGGAGAAAGAGCAUCCUAGGAGUCUGACGCCCAUGCUAUGGGCCAAAAAGGUCGAGCACUUUUCCGAACAUCAAACGAAGCGCCCAUGCUGGGAGCAAUGCCUCCGCCACCUUCAAAGGGACCGAAGAACUGAACCUGCAGUGGACUUAACUGUGAGUAAGAAUUCAGUGGUAGUAGUAGCUUUCUAGCGCAUCUGCUGCUGCAGGUUUGGAGCAGAUUUCGAGCCCUCACCGACAGCAACGACAGGGCCAGGUACCAACGGCACAUGACAUGUAAAAAAACCUGAGAAAAAAUUCACUCCAAGCUGAUCAACUGACACAGGUGGUGAAAACUUCAGUGACCAGCGGUACUUGCCCAUGCAUAUGCUCUCCCACGAAAUCGCAGAGCCUGAACCAAUGGUUCUUUCUGUCACAUUGCUUUGCGUUUAAACUGAAGUUAUGAUAACUGUCAAGCUUUAAAAGUGUCUGCACUUAGGUUGACAAACUUAGGUGGCACUAUAAGUAACUACCUAAAGGCAACUUAAAGUAGAAGCAUGUAGCAGCUAGAGCAUGAUGUUAGUAGUAGUAGUAGUAGUAGCCUUGGUAGAUCUGUGGGGUUGGAGACGUGGCACUGUUAAGCCCAGGUGCCUCUCCUAAGUUCCAUUUGCUCCAUGGUGUGUCCACUCUCCAGGAAGAUACCAAGGUAUGGGCAAAAGUGUAUUUUAGGCUAUCCUGGUAUUUUACCACAAAUUGUGCCGCCAUGUUCUCAAUCCUGUAGUACUUAUUCUGUGCAGUUAUUGGAUAUCGUACAGAAACGAACAAACGGUAAAAAACGUGUAAUAGUGAUGGUUUUGGUUGGCUUGCUUAAUGGUACUGACCAAACAUGGAAUCUUGCCCCUAGAUCAGGGGCUACCUAUCUAUGAUCAUACCACUACUAAUAUUUUUUCCUGCUAUCUUUCUCUACAGUUGAUGCAUUAUAAUACUUCGCUGUGAUCUUUGAAGAUCUAAGGCGUAUCUGCGGACGAGCCUAAAAAAGCUUUCUUAUGAGCUCCCCAAUUUAUAAAGUCUCCUCAGGUCGAUAGCGGCCAGCACAAAAGUGCAGGCUACAGGGGGCAAUGUGCCACCCUGUUUGUUUGGGUGGGGCCUCCCCGGCCGGGCUAAGCUAGGCUAGGCGGCCUCCCGGAUGUGGCAACUAGAUCUGCACAUUUCCAUGCAACAGCUAGCGUUAUACUCGCCUACUACUACUCCACGCCAGCGGAGGAGUACGUACCAUUCUUCUUCUUGGGCCAUCUCGUCGUGCUUGCUUCUCGCCUUGCUACAACCAUAUUCCAUCAUCCAUGAUAGUUCUUUGAUCCAUUCGUGUUAUCGUGUCCUGUUCUCUUAGCCAGGCAUUUCGUUGUGUGAUUUAAGGGUUUGUUUGGUUUGAAGAAAACCUAAAGAAUUUAAAUUUUUAAGGAUUUUUUUUUCUUAUGAGUGUCUUUCGGUUUAUAGGAAUGUGGGUUUAGGAAAAGUAAAAGGAAUGUGGGUUUAUUCCCCUUUUUUUUCUA